rnacentral:rRNA from 1 species
UACGUAGGGUGCGAGCGUUGUCCGGAAUUAUUGGGCGUAAAGGGCUCGUAGGCGGUUUGUCGCGUCGGGAGUGAAAACCCAGGGCUUAACUCUGGGCUGGCUUUCGAUACGGGCAGACUAGAGGUAUGCAGGGGAGAACGGAAUUCCUGGUGUAGCGGUGAAAUGCGGCAGAUAUCAGGAGGAACACCAAUGGCGAAGGCAGCACUCUGGGACGUGACUGACGCGAGGAGCGAAAGCCAGGGGAGCAA